rnacentral:lncRNA from 1 species
GGGCUUUUCUUUGUUGGCAGGUUUUUAAUUACAACAUCAUCUUCACUGACUGAUACUAGGUUAUUUAGAAUUUUUAUAUCUUCUUGAUUCAGCUUUGGUAAUCUGUAUGUAUCUAGGAAUCUGUCCAUUUCUUCUGUGUUUUCCAUCUUAUUCAAGUACAUGUUCUCAAAGAAAAUAUUCGAAUGGGUAGGGGAACUGGGUUGGAAGAAAAAAAGAGAAAAGCAAGAAAAAAUGGAAACAAAGCUUUUAUAAAUAAGAAGGGGAAGAAGGAUUGAAGGGAGGGGAGGGGAAUGGGAAAAAAAGAAUCACGAUAUAGGUCGGUACAAAUUCCCCAUGAUGAAUAUGAUCAUUAUCUACAUCUAGAAUGUACCAAUAAAAAGAAUUAAUUAAAAGAAGAAGAAACUCCCAAUAUUUAGCAGCUGUACAUCUGGCCGAGCAUUUUGUAAGUUAACCUGAAAAGCUUAGGUCCUCUGAAGUGCCAGCAUCAGCUGCUGCACCCCCAUUCUAGUCUAUUAUUGAACAGACACGAGCACAGUACUACUGUAUGUGGAGAGUGCAUAUGAAUAUGCGGAUGAAAAUUUAAAAAAACAUUCUGAGCAUUCAGUCUAUGGUUCAGAUGAAACCCUACCUUCAAGGUUUCGACCCACCUCAGCGGAGCUCCAAAAGGACUGGCUGUAACAUGUGGCCACCCAGAGUGCGCCCUGGGACUUACUCCCUGUGGGAACGUCACUGGUUUUGUCCUCGAUUCUUUCUCUCCACUUCAUCGCUUCAGGUGAACUCCACCUAAGCUGCUGCUGCUGGCUUAGCCAGCAUUGCAUGGAUUUUCUCCCACCGGAGCAGCAAUCCUGGAUUCUUCCAGCAAGGCCUGGUGACCUUUCUACCUCUUCUCCCCUGAUUGUCAUAAGCUCGUAACAGCCUCUUCCCAAGACCCACAUGUGCCAUCGUGCCCCUUUCCCAGGUCUUCCUGACCCAGACCUGCAGUGUCCUCUCUCUGCCCACAGAGACUCUCUGGCCACACGUGCCCUCCUCCUCCUCCUGGGCUAGCUAACCCUGUGCUCUGUGUUUUCGUAAAAGCCCAUAGCUCUUCUCUCACGACCUGUGCUGUUGUUUAUUACAGACACUGGUCGAGUGCAUUUCCCCAAGGAGCUACAAGCUCUGUGAAGACAGAGAUGGUGCCCA